rnacentral:rRNA from 1 species
GAGUUUGAUCGUGGCUCAGAUUGAACGCUGGCGGCAUGCCUUACACAUGCAAGUCGAACGGCAGCAUGAUCUAGCUUGCUAGAUUGAUGGCGAGUGGCGAACGGGUGAGUAAUACAUCGGAACGUGCCCUGUAGUGGGGGAUAACUAGUCGAAAGAUUAGCUAAUACCGCAUACGACCUGAGGGUGAAAGUGGGGGACCGCAAGGCCUCAUGCUAUAGGAGCGGCCGAUGUCUGAUUAGCUAGUUGGUGGGGUAAAGGCCCACCAAGGCGGACGAUCAGUAGCUGGUCUGAGAGGACGAUCAGCCACACUGGGACUGAGACACGGCCCAGACUCCUACGGGAGGCAGCAGUGGGGAAUUUUGGACAAUGGGCGAAAGCCUGAUCCAGCAAUGCCGCGUGUGUGAGAAGGCUCGGUGU